GAACGUACGCUGGCGGCACGCCUAACACAUGCAAGUCGAACGAAGUAGCAAUACUUAGUGGCAGACGGGUGAGUAACAUGUAGGUAUCUGCCCUUUGGCCUGGAAUAACACGAGGAAACUUGUGCUAAUACCGGAUAAGUCUUUACGGAGAAAGCUUUAUGCACCAUUGGAUGAGCCUGCACUUGAUUAGUUUGUUGGUGGGGUAAUGGCCUACCAAGACUGUGAUCAAUAGCUGAUUUGAGAGGAUGAUCAGCCACAUUGGGACUGAGACACGGCCCAAACUCCUACGGGAGGCAGCAGUGGGGAAUCUUGCACAAUGGAGGAAACUCUGAUGCAGCGAUGCCGCGUGAGUGAAGAAGGCCUUUGGGUUGUAAAGCUCUUUCGUCGGGGAAGAAAAUGACUGUACCCGAAUAAGAAGGUCCGGCUAACUUCGUGCCAGCAGCCGCGGUAAUACGAAGGGACCUAGCGUAGUUCGGAAUUACUGGGCUUAAAGAGUUCGUAGGUGGUUGAAAAAGUUGGUGGUGAAAUCCCAGAGCUUAACUCUGGAACUGCCAUCAAAACUUUUCAGCUAGAGUAUGAUAGAGGAAAGCAGAAUUUCUAGUGUAGAGGUGAAAUUCGUAGAUAUUAGAAAGAAUACCAAUUGCGAAGGCAGCUUUCUGGAUCAUUACUGACACUGAGGAACGAAAGCAUGGGUAGCGAAGAGGAUUAGAUACCCUCGUAGUCCAUGCCGUAAACGAUGUGUGUUAGACGUUGGAAAUUUAUUUUCAGUGUCGCAGCGAAAGCGAUAAACACACCGCCUGGGGAGUACGACCGCAAGGUUAAAACUCAAAUGAAUUGACGGGGACCCGCACAAGUAGUGGAGCAUGUGGUUUAAUUCGAAGAUACGCGCAGAACCUUACCAACACUUGACAUGUUCGUCGCGACUCUAAGAGAUUAGAGUUUUCGGUUCGGCCGGACGAAACACAGGUGCUGCAUGGCUGUCGUCAGCUCGUGUCGUGAGAUGUUGGGUUAAGUCCCGCAACGAGCGCAACCCUCACUUUUAGUUGCCAUCAUUAAGUUGGGCACUCUGAAAGAACUGCCAGUGAUAAGCUGGAGGAAGGUGGGGAUGACGUCAAGUCCUCAUGGCCCUUACGUGUUGGGCUACACACGUGCUACAAUGGUAUCUACAACAGGAAGCAAAACUGCGAAGUUAAGCAAAUCCCUAAAAGAUACCUCAGUUCGGAUUGCACUCUGCAACUCGAGUGCAUGAAGCUGGAAUUACUAGUAAUCGUGGAUCAGCGUGCCACGGUGAAUGCGUUCCCGGGUCUUGUACACACCGCCC
rnacentral:rRNA from 1 species